GAGAAUUCACAAAAUCUGGUAAAGCUGUGGUCCUUUUACCCUGUAGAUUUUCAUAUGGAAUAAAGAGAGAAUUUUUGCAAAGGGUCUAAUGCUAUUAUUAGUUUUACAAAAAUCUUGAUACAUUGAAUUAACAUAAUUUUUAGUCACCACGUCUGCAUUCUUGAUUCGAGAGGGAAUAUUCUCUGAUGACACUAUUACUACUGGUAUCUCUUUUAGGUUUGAUGAUUCCUGUUAGCAAGAAAACAGAUUUGCAGCAUAUCUAUAUCGGGUACUGAAUAACUAUAUGCACCAAGGGAGAGAGAAAAUUGAUUAAAAUAUGUUCAGCAUAUGUUGAAUGUUGAUCAUGUCCAAGUCAAUCAACUGAAUAAUAUUUUAGAUUACCUCAACUCUUUUCAGAAACUCAUUUCCUGUCAUUCCUGGCAUAUAGUAGUUGGUUAUUAUCAAGUUAACAUUCUACCUAUCAAUGUAUUGUUAACCAAAAGGUUGUCAAUACGGUUAUAAGGUUGGAAACUUAUUUAUAUCACACAAGAAAAAUGGGAAGAAAAACAAACUCUGAUAAUAAGAGUUGAUAAUGACAUCAUUUAUACCCACCCGAAAAUCGAAAAAAUAAAAAGUUUGAGGUGAUUUGUCCUGAGUUCCAAGUCAUCUUCACAUGCAAGGGAUUGGUGAUUGUCAGGCCACUCCUUAGCCUGACAGGCCACUCCUUAGCCUGACUUGGAUCUGGUGAGAUAAAACAGAAAAUAGAGAGAGGGAAGAAUUUUUGGGAGGAAGGAGAUAGAUUAGAUAGAUGGAAUAAGUUUGAGGGGAGAUAGGUGUGAGAGUAAAACUGCUUCUCAAAUUUUCAUAUUAUUCAUUACUUGAAAAAUGGAAAAUACAGGUACUUUUCUAUUUAUAGACUAGAUAGUCUCACUGAAAUGUAAAUCAUAAACUACUACACUCGUUACUAACUUGCUCACCUAGAACGUAGUGUACUAGAAUAUUCUAUUGUUUUACUCAGUACCAUUUGUACUCCUUCCUGAUACUGAUGCUCCCAAAUUCAUAGGAAAAACAAAGUUAGGUUAUUAAAUGAUUUAAGAAUAUAGAUCGGUACCGCGUUGCUGGAUGUUUAGCUCUUGUGGUGAAGGAAAAGGAAAAUGACAAGGAAAUUGAGAGGUAAAUUCCCUCUUAUUCUUUUUUUCUCCUUUAAUAAAUCCAGACUAACAAGUUGUUAAGAGAAUUUGUAGGAAUCGCAAGAAAAAAAAUUUCAUACACGUAUUGUAAAAAAUUCCCCCUACCGUUCUUUGCGACUUAUCUUUUUAUCCUAGUAUACAAUUUAUUGAUAAGUAACCAAGAGAAAUUGAACACCUUAACAUUUGCUUUUUUAAUCGGUGAAUCCACAAACCAUGCAGAUCAUAUUCUAGGGUGGAAACAAUUGGAUAUAGUUUCAAAAUACCGCAAUGCUUUAAUCUUAUCAGAAAGUUGAACCCCCGUUUCUAAUGAUACGAUCUAUAUUGACUUUUUAAAAGUCAAUUUGAAACUUUUUCAAAUUAAAAAUUGUCAUGAUUCAUUUAAGUUUUGACAGCAAUAAAUAUUAGUAAUUUUCAGAUAGUUUAUGAUGUUCAUAUUCAUAAUUUUAUCGAUAUAAAAUAAAUAANNNNNNNNNNNNNNNNNNNNNNNNNNNNNNNNNNNNNNNNNNNNNNNNNNNNNNNNNNNNNNNNNNNNNNNNNNNNNNNNNNNNNNNNNNNNNNNNNNNNCACCCCCGAAAUUAGUUAGGUUAGGUCCAUGGAUGGAGAAGUCAUAGGAAGAGGGAGAACUAAUAUUUCUGUUCUUUUGUCACAGGAACACUAAUGAAAUAGGUAAGAAGGAGCGCACUUGCAGUAUUGCUCGUGGUAUAGUGCGGUUUUGUGUUCAUCUCCCAGACCCAACAAUUCAAAUGCCUUCUGAGCGUUCUCUGCCUUUGCAACUGCCAGAAUGAGCCUUCCCACAACUUAGAUUGCACCACGUUUAGAGCCUAGGUUGCGGACUUGCGGCAAUGUUGAUGACUACCGGCAGCUCCCAAUACUUCUAGUUAGUUUUAUUUUACAAUUGGUUCCUUUUCCUGUGGCUUUUUGUUUGAUUUUGUCCUGUUUCUUUAAUGAAAUCUUGAGGUGAGCCGAAAGAUGGUUAUCGGUUAAAGAACUAGUUUAUUUUGUACUAAAUUUGGGUGUCUAGAAAUCAAGACUUGUUCAAAGCUUGGAAUCUUAUUGCAUUUCAGUUAAAACAAGGCUUAGGUUUGAUAUAGGGAAUGAUCUUUUGAUUCUUUAUAUAAUAUAAAAACUGAACUAAAAAUGUAUAUUUAGUUGGCUGAAUUGUGUUUUUUAAGCUGAAGGGCUUUAAAGUAGUCAAUUAAUUAA
rnacentral:lncRNA from 1 species